CCAUAUUGACUAUAUAAAUUUACUCUUAUAUAAAAAUUAUUUUCUCCCUUUGUGCAUGUCGUGACGUUUGUAUGUAAGCUUACCCAAUUUUCACUCUAUUGUGUUUGGAAUACAGUGGUGUACCUCCAAAAUGGCCAUAGGUGUUGUAAGUGGUUUUCGUGAAAUUGAUUUUACUGAUUGAUACCUGCUGGGUGCUGUAUUUGUAUUCUGACCCAUGUGUUGUGAACUUUUGGACAUGAGCAGACCAUGGGUGAAGCAGGACUCUUCAAGGUGUAAACCAGCAACUGACAUUGUUUGAUAUUGGAUUUCAGAAGGAUGGCAGGGCAGUUUAUUCUAUAAACUGGAGAUAGAAACAGAAGCUGCUUUCUCAUGAAUGUAGCAAAGACAUAUGAAUGGAAGACCAAAGAGCUAAGAAAGCAGAGAUAAGUGAAUAUUACAGAAACAAGGUACAAAAAGAAAAAAAAUCAGAUGAAUGAGAAGAAAAUGUUAUGGUAUACAAAUAUGCGAUAGAGGCCACUUCAUCCAGAGACGAAGACUGCCAUUUAGGGUUCAUCAAGGAACCCCAGAGGUCCAGGAUUAUACUGACAAUGAAGGGUAAGUGCUUCUUUCUAACGUAAUUCCCCAGUCUAAAGAUGCAUGUCAGAGUAGGCUCAUUCACUUAGGCCAGUGUUUCUCAUAGGGACACCAGCCCCAAACCCUAGAGUGAGAUUUUGGGGAUUAGAAAGACAGUAGACAAAUUUUCAUGUUUAAAUUAAAUUAAGAAUGUUUUAAAGUUUUUAAGCUUGAUCAACAUCAUAGUGAAGAUGGAACAAUUAAAUGAGUGUAAACUCUUUUGUCUUCAUAUUAAUAAAGUUGGGGAAGACAAACAAAAUUUCUAAUAAUUUUUUGAGUGAAGGGGCCAGAUAUUUGUCAGUUUGAGAACCGUUACCUCAAGGCAUACACACUUCUCACCCACCUUUCAGCUAAUUCACUAGAGGACAGCAUCUUCCUCUCCAUUUUCACUUUCUUCCCCAAGUGGAACUUGAAAAAGUCAAUGAAAGCUUGACCAAAGAGGAAAAUAUCCCUCUUUUUGAUCAUGUCCACUAUAUCAGCAGACCUCAACCUUUUUUGUAUCACAGACUAGUUUCAUGCAUGACAAAACAAUAAAGUGUAAAGUGCAUAGAUGUACUUUAUUACAUAUAUGAUACAUAUAUAUCAGCUUCAAAUUUUGACACAAGGCCAGCAAUUUGGGGGGAGGGCACAAGACAAUUACAUUGACCCCAGUGUUUGACUGGUACUUAUUUUAUCAACCCCAGAAAGACGAAAGGCAAAAGCUGAUACAGCUUAGCAUCAGUGACAUCACAACUCAUUUCUACAGAUGAAUGAACUGGAGCAACGUGAAAUAAAGUGUCUUGCUAAAGAACACAACACACAACCUGGUCCAGAAAUCAAACUCAUUACCUAGUAAUUAUGAGCCCGAUGCUCUAACUACUGAGCCCACCUUCACAUAAGACAUAUAUAUUACAUAUAUAAUACAUACAUAAAGCAAAAAGAUCAUGCAGACUGCAAUAGUCAAUAAAAUAAAAAUAAAAUCUAAGAAUUUAUUUUUUCUGUACAGCCUGGUACUGGUCUACAACUCAGUGGUUGGAGAUCCCUGCACUAUGCAGUGUCUUUCAUUAUAAACACCAGAUAGAGAGAAAAAACUGCCUACUUACUGCAUUAGAGGAAAGUGGUGGGGCAAUCUUCAUGCAGGAAGUUAGCAGAUGUCUUACUCAUAACACUAGCUGCCCAACAGUAAAAGAACUCCCUUAAUCAGCAAUACUUGGACAUUCAGAACAGUUUCAUAGCUCCACACAUAUCUUAGACAGACCUGGCUGAUGGCAUUUCCAUUGUCUGUAGAGUUUAUCACAUACAUAUACACACACACAAACACAUCAUCAUGUAACGUCUGUUUUCCACCAUGGUGGCAUGGGUCGGACGGUUUGACAGGAACUGGCCAGCCAGAAAGCUGAAUAAGUACUGGGGUUGAUUUGUUCAACUAUACCCUUUAAAACGAUGUUCCAUCAUGGCUGUAGUCCCAUUGACUGGAACAAGUAAAGAAUAAAAGAUAAACAGUAACAUUAUAGGCCCUUGGGCAAAUCAGCACUGGGCCCUACAGUAUUUAUUUAUGAACAGCAAGUCACGGCAUACAAACGUUAAAACCUAGACCCGUGAAGCCCCGGCAACUGCCCAGUGUGUUCAUUCCUUAAGACGACACUGCUCACAAGACACCUAGAUGUUUUAAUGACUUUUCACCUUUUCAGCUGCUGUUGAACUAAAAACAGUUACUUCUUUAUGCAGCUUUUGACAUGGGAAUUCUUGGUACAUAAAUUGAUCAGGAACGGACAAAGAAAGAAAACAAAUGCUUUAUAUAUCAACGAAAAAUCAUUACUAUCUUAGAAAAGUAGUGAAAAAUACCUUUAGAAUGUUCUGUAGAGAACAGAAGUUCGGGACCUUUUCCAUACGCCAGGAAUUGAUAGACAUACAUGAACCAAGGCAGAUCAAUUUUAUAUUAUCUAAGCGAAAUAUUUAAUUAGUGCAUGACUCAAUAAAUGGAGGGUGCAACAAUAUAUAUAUAUAUAUAUAUAUAUAUAUAUAAUUGAAUAAAUAAAUGUAUAAUUGA